CGACGGAGAAGAGGUGCAACUGACACUUUUAGAUCUACGGCCCCCAAACCCUAAUGCGUUCAAACAUUCAGAUUUGGUAUAAGAUCGACGGAGAAGAGGUGCAACUGACACUUUUAGAUCUAUGGCCCCCAAACCCUAAUGCGUUCAAACAUUCAGGUCUGGUAUAAGAUCAACAGAGAAGAGGUGCAACUGAGCUUUUAGAUCUGCGGCUCACAAACCCUAAUACGGUCAAACUUUUAGAUCUGGUAUAAGGUGAUGAUUUUGUUGCAAAACAUAACUUAACAAAGAUGAAUCAUGUGGUUUGUUCGAAGCCUAGGCAAGUCAACCUCUUUAGUUCCACCUUUAACGGGCAUGCUAUGAAUUGAAGAUGACAAAUGUGGUUUGUUUAAUUGAUGUGGGUGGACGUUAC